AGGACAAUGCAGGGUCCAGUAAGGAGAGCUUGAAUUCACAGCAAAAACACUGUGUCUGCCUAGGUUUAGGCUGUUUUCUGGGAUAGACACUACGUGAAAUUCAACAUGUAUGCUUAAUAACCAUGGCAGUUCUGAAGGGAGCAGAAUCCAUUACAGGGGGAAGGAUUUAAAACCAGAAAAGAAAUGCUGAAAAUAGAGCAAGAGUAAUGUCAAAGUAGCUUUCUACAACAUGGAACACAAAAGAUCUACUACUACCACCAUGAAGAAAAACAAGUAAACAGGUAUUCUGUUCCUGAAAACACCAGACCCCAAAAGAGGAGAUCUCAGGCAUUUCUUGAUCCUGAAGAAGUACAAUCCCAAAGAAUGUAGGCUUGAACCAAUCCCUCACCCUGAAAAAAACCCAGGUCAAAAAAAAAAAAAAAGAAGAGAUGUAGGCCAGGGUUAGUUCCUCAUCUUAAAGCACCCAGGGCCCAAAUGAAGAGGAAUGUGUGCCUGGGCCAUUCCCUGAUCCUGAAGAGGCUCUGGCCCAAAGCAAGGUAUGAUAUGGGCCUGUGCCUAUUCCUAAAUCUGAAGAGGCCUAGGCCCAAAGAAGAAGAAAUGUGGGCCUGAGCCAAUCCCUGACCCUGAAGAA
rnacentral:lncRNA from 1 species